rnacentral:tmRNA from 1 species
GGGGAUGUUCCGGAAUUCGACUGAGCAUCGUAGAUUAUGUCUGCACGUCGAAGACGACACUUGGCUUCGUAAAAAUGUGUCAAAAAACUAUAAAUGGCGAAGAUUACGCUAUUGCUGCCUAACUAAAGGCGGCGCGUCUGCACCCUGACACCUGAUAGGGGAUUGUGGGCGUCGACAUCAGGUAAAGGGGCUUUGCUUGUUCGGACUGGGGCAGAGCCGCCACAAACAGCUCGAUAGUGCAUAAGCGGUAGUUUUGGCCGAGCUUGUGCGCGAAAUUAAAGCAAAACUAAACGUGUAGUAUGGCGUUUUUGAAAGUACUUAGGACAGGGGUUCGACUCCCCUCAUCUCCACCA